GACGAACGCUGGCGGCGUGCUUAGCACAUGCUAGUCGAACGGAAAGGCCCUGCUUUUGUGGGGUGCUCGAGUGGCGAACGGGUGAGUAACACGUGAGUAACCUGCCCUUGACUUUGGGAUAACUUCAGGAAACUGGGGCUAAUACCGGAUAGGAGCUCCUGCUGCAUGGUGGGGGUUGGAAAGUUUCGGCGGUUGGGGAUGGACUCGCGGCUUAUCAGCUUGUUGGUGGGGUAGUGGCUUACCAAGGCUUUGACGGGUAGCCGGCCUGAGAGGGUGACCGGCCACAUUGGGACUGAGAUACGGCCCAGACUCCUACGGGAGGCAGCAGUGGGGAAUAUUGCACAAUGGGCGGAAGCCUGAUGCAGCAACGCCGCGUGCGGGAUGACGGCCUUCGGGUUGUAAACCGCUUUCGCCUGUGACGAAGCGUGAGUGACGGUAAUGGGUAAAGAAGCACCGGCUAACUACGUG
rnacentral:rRNA from 1 species